GACGGAGGGGGCAAGCGUUGUCCGGAAUCACUGGGCGUAAAGCGCACGUAGGCGGGACGGUGCGUCGGUGCUGAAAGCGCCAGGCUUAACCUGGCGAGGCGUGCCGAUACGACCGACCUCGAGGCAGACAGAGGGUGGCGGAAUUCCGGGUGUAGUGGUGAAAUGCGUAGAGAUCCGGAGGAACGCCGGUGGCGAAAGCGGCCACCUGGGUCUGACCUGACGCUGAGGAACGAAAGCGUGGGGAGCGAACAGG
rnacentral:rRNA from 1 species